CAGUGCUACAAUGUUUAUCUGAUCAAUUAGAAGACGAGUCUUAUCAACCCUGACCCUCAGGAUCUAUUAAGCUAUUUUGAGGAGACUGCUGUUGUCUUCCUUAUUUCACAAAAUGAGGAAACAGACGCUCAGAGUGCUCAAGGAAUUUGGUGAAGGUCACACAGCUCACAGGGGACACAGGUUCGAGCACUGGUCUGGGAAGAUCCCACAUGCCGUGGAGCAGCUGGGCCCGUGAGCCACAAUUACUGAGCCUGCGCGUCUGGAGCCCGUGCUCCGCAACAAGAGAGGCCGCGACAGUGAGAGGCCCGCGCACCGCGAUGAAGAGUGGCCCCCGCUCACCGCAACUAGAGAAAGCCCGCGCACAGAAACAAGGACCCAACACAGCAAAUAAAUAAAUAAAUUAAUUAAAAAAAAAAAAAAACCACAGUGAGCUACCACAGCACAUCUAUCACAAUGGCUAAAGUAAACAAUAGUGGCAACAUCAAAUGCUGGAAAGGAUGAGGAAAACCCGUAUCAUUUAGACAUUGCUGAUGGGAAUGUAAUAUGGUACCACAACUCUGGAAAACAGUUUGACAGUUUGGUAUACAGUUAAACAGACACUUAGCAUAUGACCCAGAAAUUGCACUCCUAGGACAAAAGAAUGAAACUUAUUUUCACACAAACACCUGUACAUGAAUGUUUAUAGCUGCUUUAUUCAUAAUCAGCGACAUCUGGAAACAGCUCAAGGUCCUUCAGCUAUUGAGUGGAUAAAGAAACUGCAGUACACCCAUAAAAUGGACUACUCAGCAGUAAAAAAGAAUAAUGUACAGGUACAUGUACCAACAUAAAUGAAUCUGAAAUGCAUUAUGCUAAGUGAAAGAAGUCCAGCUCAAGUAGCUCUGUGAUUUCAUUUAUAUGACAUUUGGAGAACGGAUUAGUGGUGACUAGGGCUGAGAGGUGGGGUGAGGGAAGUGGAUGCACUGGGCAAUGUUUUAGGGUGAUGGAACUUUCUGUCUCUUGAUUGUGGUAGUGAUCAUACAGCUCUAAGCUUUUGUCGAAACUCAUAGAACUGUACACCAAAAAAGCAAAAUUUACUGUAUGUACGUUUUAAAAUAACUUUUAAAACAGAAAAAUGUUACUGAAAGAAAAAGAUCUAAUUAGUGUUUUAUGAGAAAAAUAUAUAUUUCUUCACAAGUCUUUAUUCAUCCUGUAAAUUUUCUGGGUAGAGUUAAGAGAGACUGCUUUUAAAUUGACAAAGGCAGUGGCCAAGUGUGAAUGAACUGUGAUUCUCUUGCUACUUGAGGAGGGAUUGGGAGUUCAGGGCCAUCGCUUGCAAACUCUCUUUAUAAAUGAAAACUGUAUGAAGUGUAGGUCAAUGCUCAGUUCUUCAGGAGUGGAUGAUACAGAUGUGGAAGAUGUACGUCCAUUAAGGCUUUAACCCCCUUCACGCCUGAGCGUUGCCUUUCCCCCACCCACCAAUUAGAUGCAAAAGGUUGUUUCAUCCUACUUGUCUUAAAUUCCUAUGCUCCUUCUUCCUUUUAUUAAAACCAUGAGUAUAGAAGGCCCUUGAGGGCCACAGUAAGCAAGGUUCUCUCUCCUCUGACAGUUUCAUGGACCCUAACUGUGUAUAUCUGCCUGGGCUCCAAAAUGUACAAUGGAAUGCUUUGGUGGGCGGCGUGAGAAUAAUCUCUUUAGCAGUUAGCAUGGUAUUUGCCAAAUAUAAAGCAAUGUUUUCAAUUACAUUUUUCCUUUAAGUUUGUGUGUAUUAUGGAAGGGCAAUUAAAAAAAAAAAAAAGGAAAAGAAGGAGGAGGAGAAGGAGAAAACAACACAAGAAAAUCUGCUGGCUUGAGGCCGGAAGGCUGAAUUUUUCUUGGUUGCGCUCAUUUCCCAGCUCAGCGUAGAGAUGAGGCCUGUCCUAUUCGCAUGGCUUAUUAAUGAGUCACGCUUUGAGUUGUAAAUAGAAGGGCCAAAACAGAUCAUUCCAUGUAAGUAAGUCUUUAAAAUGGCACCCUAAGUAAUGGUUAGGAUGCACCAGAUGUUUUUAGUGAAGUCACCACUUCACAGAACCGCUUACCCAGGAGUCUCAACUGAAGGAAGCACCCUCCCCCAAAUGCCUAUCAUUUUAUUUCCCUUCUUGAAAUAGAACACCUUUCCCCUCCCGUCGGAAAAUAACAUUGGGAAGCUACCAUUCUGCUUAUGUGAUUCUGUUAUUCUGUUUACUGUGGCUGCCAGAUGCUUCAAUUAAGGGCUAAAAGGUGGUCUUUUCAACCGAAACUACCAAGUGAAUGCUUCCAUGUUGAAGUCAAGGGAACAGGGGUCUAUUAAGUCCUUCCCGUAUACCUUGUCUUUGAAGAGAUCAUAGCCAGAGAGCUCAGCAGAGUACAUCACCAGUGCUUUGAACUGAUCUGAGAGAGGGUGCUUCUUCCCAUCAUCUCCGUUUAUUGCCGGCAUUGCGUGGGGCAGAAAGGGCUGGAGCUUUGGCUCCAUGGUUGCUAGCCUGGGAACUUGAAACUUGAUUCUCUUCCUGCUACGAUGUGUGAACGAGAGACUGGAACUUUCUGAGUCAGAGUUUUGUCACACUAAAGCAAGGGGAUUCGAGUACAGGAUUUCUUGGGCCCCUUCUAGUUCCAAAAGGCUAUGAGUCUAUGAAAUAAGAGGGGAAAAACAUAUGAAACCCAAUGAGAUCAAGUCAGUAAUGGAGUUCAAGGAUAUAUAAUGCUCAGGACUGUUCCUGAAUCAUGAACUCACCUGUUUAUCAGGAUACUGCUCAUUGAAUAUAUAGAAUAAAAAUUAAAGAAGUGGCAAAGAGGUGAUGAAAGAUCCUAUUAAAGGACAAUUUAGAAGGAUGGAGAUGUUUAAAAUUCUAGGACACAUGGUAUAAUGAUGUUAAAUACUCAAGCUUUUGAGGUAGCCUGCCCAGGUUUGAAUUUUAGCCUCGGUACUUGGUAGCUGUGUAUCCUUAGCUAAACUGCUUUUCUGGGCCUCAACAGAAUGUAAAAAAUUCAUCAGAUGUAAAAAGAAAUAAUAUUUUACUCAAAGAGUUGCCAUGAGGAUUAAAUAAGGUAAUGCAUGCUGGCCUGGAUCAUGAAACACUUGAAGUAGAUUGCCAGUACUACUGCUGCUACUACUACAUAGAGUAUAUAGUGAAUGAUAAUACUCCAGAACUACAUAGAGCAGUGGAUGGUGAUAGUGGGACAGCACUGGUGGAGUGACUAAGGUACCAGCCUUGGCAUACAAAGUCUAGGGUUUUAGUUCAAGAUAACACAGAAGCAAAGAACGUGCCCACAAACAAAUUCCACAGUGUCAGUGCCAUUGGGCAUGUACUGCCAUUUACUAGCUAGGCAACUUUUGGCCAUGUCUCCCGACCUCUCCAAGCCUCGGUCUCCCCUGAAGAUACUAAUGCUUGCCUCUCAGGAUGUUGGAAUGAACUGCAUGAGAUAAUGCAUGUGAAAUCGUGCACUGUAAACCACAAACUCCUCUGCUGAUGUAAGGAUUGUUAUGACCUAGUAAGAUAAUGAAUGAAAACCUAUGACAGAAGUCUUUCCAAAAUGAUACAUCCAUUUCUCUGACAUGUCUUUGCUUUUUUUUUUUUUUUGAUGACAUCUACAGGAACAUGUAUUACUGAUAGAUAAAACAACUGUCUGUGGCGCUUUAUCGUUUUUACCUGGUUUACAUAACCUCCUUUCAUUCCACAACCUGAAAGGUGCGUAAGCUAUCUGUCUUCAUCCUGACCGUGUGCUUAGUUCUAAUCAGCGUCUUCCUCCCCAGCUGCCGUGGUCUGGCCUCUGCUCCUUCUCCUUUUCACUCAUACCAUGUAGUUAUUAUUGCAAGCAGAUGUAAGAAUAAUAUCCAACGCUCCUCUUGAAUGGUAGGUCAAGGGAAGCCUUUGAACAAGGAAGGCGCAUAUUCAGGUAUUUUAGGAAGCUUACUUAACAGCAGCUGAACUCUGAUAGACUGGAACUUGUGGGCUAAGACUGGGUAGAUUAGAGUGUUGUUUAACGACAAGGAGAGGUGGUAAGUGCCUGGACUUGAGUGACGGCAGGGAGGAUUGGAAGGGGGCAAAAGACUGGAGACCAGGAGGCAGGAAGUAAAUCUACAGAAUUUUAUUCGUUCAGUAAAUAUUUAUGAAACGUUUACCGUGUGUCAGGUAUUACAUUAGGGGCAAGGAAUACACCAGUGAGCAAAAAAGACAAAAUCUUGAUCUCUGUGAAUCUGUGGUCUGUGGCAUUUGUCAAGUAAUUGGAUGUACAUGGAAAGGGAAAGCGAGAAGUCAAAUAGAGGUGGCUGAGGUUUCGGCUUGAGUGUCUGGGGACAUGGUGUCACAGUUGACAGCAAUGGGAGGCAGGAGAAGGACUGGGUUGGUGUGAAAGGUGACACAUUCGUUUUCAGCACAAUGAACUUGGAGAAUUGCUAUAGAAUUAAAAUGCUUUCCUGAAAGGAAAUGAGCUCAGGAUUAACUCUUGGGUUCUGUGACUGGUACCAUGUGAUCUAUGGGGAGGUGUACAGUUUAAUCAAUGUUUGAUUCCCAGAGACACCCAGAUUAGACUGGAGAUACUUACUUAUUCCUGGUCCUGAAUUUUAGGAGGCAUUUUACUUGUAAACCUUAUAUGAGAAAAUUCAUUAAAAUAGUAUCGUUAAAUGUAGCUUUAUAAAAAGAUACUGAAAUGUUUAUCAAGUUGAUUUUUCUCAUAAAGACCUUCCAUAAAAGUUGAAAGCAUAAAAUUAAAUCUUAACUCAGUCAAGGUAUUUUUUGGAAGCAGUAAGAUAACAUAACCCUACUGCAUUGUUUUCUGACGACAUAACUUAGUACAGGGAAGGAAUAUAGAGAAUAUAUGUCCUGUAGGCUGUGUUUCAAAUAUCAGAUGUAUCUGGGAAACUACUGCUGAGGGUGGAUUUUGGUUAAUUUUGGAUCAGAUUCUCUGCCUGGUACCUGGCACAGCAAUGUUCAGUGUGGCAAAUCAAAAAAAGCUCUGGAGGCCACAGAUAUAAACUAACAGAGUUGGACUGCCUGGGUUUGAAUUCUGGUUUCAACCCUUGCUGGCUAAGUUUUUGGUCAAGUUGCUUAAUCCCUCUCGCCUCAGUUUCUUUAUCUGCAAAAUGGGCGUGUACAAUGGAUUAAUGAACUCAUUCUUAUCCAGUCCUUAACUAGAACCUGGUACAUUAUAAAGGUUCAAUUAAGGCUUGCCAUGAUUAUCUUUGGCUUUAUUAGCAUUGUUCUGACUCAUGCACUAACUUCUAGAGGAAGUGACAAUGGCCAGCCGGUCACAUGCGGCAGAAACAAGGUGAUUCAAUUCGGUAAGAAGCACAGGAUGUCUAGGAAAGCAGCACAGAUGAAGCCAAGGACAACAGCUUCUGGAAACACGGCCACAGCCACUACCCAACGAGACAGCGCACACUGAGAUCACUCCUGGGCAGUCACUCAACUCAUUAGAAGUUGACCAGCCCUUAUUUAUUCAGCAUUGUGUUAGACAGCUGUGGGAGUCUUAAAGGAAGUGAAAAGCAGGACCUUUGAGGAACUUACCGUCUGGGUAGGGAGAGAAAUCUUUGUGAAGGAGCUGCAUGCUGAUGUUAUAGUAAUUAAAUGCUAACUUGUACUUGGGGUAGUCACAGGAGGAAAGGGAGCAGUACUGGCCUUUCUGCACUAUUCUUUCUAUAGGCAUCUAAUGCCAUCAACCGGAAUACCUUCAAAUAUAAUCAGCAGUGGGAGUCUUGUCUACCAGCAUAAAAGCCACACCUUUUAAUUUCUACUUUCCCUGCAACAAUCCAGAAUAUAAUUAAUAUGUGAAGAAGCAGGGAGUGGGUUGCUUGGGAAAAAGUACAGGAGUUAAGAAAGAUUUCUUUACAACACUUUUUCCCCCUUCAAAUCAACAGUGGUUUACUAAACAGCCCAGAGGGUUGUAGCAGGUACUAUGCUAGACCCAUGAGAUUUAGAAUAUGAGGAAGAUCCGAUCCUGCCCUCGAGCGCUGGUUCACAUUCUAGUGGCCAGGUAGGACUGUCAAGGCCUAUCUCUCUGUCUGUGCUCAGGCUUGUGGGAAAAACAGUCUGAAACAGACAUUAGAGUGCAUAAGAAAAAAGAACACAGAAGAGUGCCAUUACAGGAAAACUACAACCGGGGCCCUUUCAACCAGAUGAAGGGACAGACAUAAAAAGGCCAUUUCAGUAUUUUCGUUGAGGAGCUAAGACAGGAGUGUGCCCAGGUGUCACAGCCACGCAGAGGAGAGGUUCUCUGCCAGAAUUUGGGGAGGCUGCCCAUGUGAUGUGAUGUCUGCCCUGAAUCCUGAAGGGAAGGAGAGACCAUCAGGAGACAGGCAGGGUGUUCCAGUCCAAGAACAGCAUGACCAGAGGAACACCAGAAGCAAAAUACUUGUGUAGACGGGGAACUAGAAACAGUUGGGUGUUGCUAAAGGUGUGAGCAGGAAGGGGCAGGAGAUGACAGAUGAGGCCAAGCCAUGAGGGCCCUUCCAGCUUAAGAUUCACCCUAAAGGUGAGGGAGAGCCACCAGAGGGUCUUAGACAGGAAUAUGUGGUGGUCAGAUUUGUGUUUGAGAUACACAUAGAGGAAGGAUUUAGCAAAGCAUCUGUUAGGAUUAGGUACUGCUGCGUGGAACAGUGCUUAAGCCAACAGGAUUUGUUUUCUAAGUCUGGAGGUAGGCAGUUCCUCACUGGCUAAGACACUCACAUCCUUGUUGUCUUUUUGCUUUGCUAUCCUUUUGUCCUCACAGUGUCACCUCAUGGUCAGAAGAUGGCCCUCUGAGCUCAAAACAACACAUUUGUGUUUAAGGAAGCAAGAAUAGGGAAAGAUGCUACUCUUCCCUUUAAUCACCAGUGGAAAAGCCCUCCCAGGGACCACCAUACUUUGAGGAAACUACUGGUGGUCAGGUCAGGACUAUACUAGCUGGCCACCUCUAGCUGUAAGAGAAGCUGGGAAAUCAGUGACCUUCUUACUUACGUAGUAGAUUUGGGCGAGGGAGGAGGUUGGGAAUAAGUGGUAGUUAUUAGGUACGGUAUGUAGCUAACCUGUAGUUUCUGCCACAGAAGCUAGCAGGUGGGAAAUAGUGAGGACCCAAAACAGGGCAAUGGUAAUAGAGAGGGAGUGGAUACUGCUGCCAUUAACUGAAACUGAAAACUCAGAAAUUCUGAGUAGUGGAUCUCAUUCUCUUAGAUGUCGGUUUGAAGUAUCAUCCCAAGAGGAUAUUCAGCAGGGAGUUGGACAUAAAUGAAAAACUCAAGUGAAG